UACGGAGGGUGCGAGCGUUGUCCGGAAUCACUGGGCGUAAAGGGCGCGUAGGCGGCCGUGUAAGUCACUUGUGAAAUCCCGGGGCUCAACUCCGGGGCUGCAGGUGAGACUGCAUGGCUAGAGCUUGGUAGAGGCGAGUGGAAUUCCCGGUGUAGCGGUGAAAUGCGCAGAUAUCAGGAGGAACACCAGCGGCGAAGGCGGCGCUCUGGGCCGGAACUGACGCUGAGGAGCGAAAGCGUGGGUAGCAAACAGG
rnacentral:rRNA from 1 species